rnacentral:rRNA from 1 species
GAUGAACGCUGGCGGCGUGCUUAACACAUGCAAGUCGAACGAAGCAUAUCAGCGGAAGCCUUCGGGUGGAAGCAGAUAUGACUGAGUGGCGGACGGGUGAGUAACGCGUGGGUAACCUGCCUCAUACAGGGGGAUAACAGUUGGAAACAGCUGCUAAUACCGCAUAAGCGCACAGUGUCACAUGACACAGUGUGAAAAACUCCGGUGGUAUGAGAUGGACCCGCGUCUGAUUAGCUGGUUGGUGAGGUAACGGCUCACCAAGGCGACGAUCAGUAGCCGGCCUGAGAGGGUGAACGGCCACAUUGGGACUGAGACACGGCCCAAACUCCUACGGGAGGCAGCAGUGGGGAAUAUUGCACAAUGGGGGAAACCCUGAUGCAGCGACGCCGCGUGAGUGAAGAAGUAUUUCGGUAUGUAAAGCUCUAUCAGCAGGGAAGAAAAUGACGGUACCUGACUAAGAAGCCCCGGCUAACUACGUGCCAGCAGCCGCAGUAACAC